CCUACGGGAGGCUGCAGUGGGGAAUAUUGGACAAUGGGCGAAAGCCUGAUCCAGCCAUGCCGCGUGUGUGAAGAAGGCCUUCGGGUUGUAAAGCACUUUCAGUGGGGAAGAAAGCCUUGGGGCUAAUACCCUCGAGGAAGGACAUCACCCACAGAAGAAGCACCGGCUAACUCCGUGCCAGCAGCCGCGGUAAUACGGAGGGUGCGAGCGUUAAUCGGAAUUACUGGGCGUAAAGCGCGCGUAGGCGGUCUGAUAAGCCGGUUGUGAAAGCCCCGGGCUCAACCUGGGAACGGCAUCCGGAACUGUCAGGCUAGAGUGCAGGAGAGGAAGGUAGAAUUCCCGGUGUAGCGGUGCAAUGCGUAGAGAUCGGGAGGAAUACCAGUGGCGAAGGCGGCCUUCUGGACUGACACUGACGCUGAGGUGCGAAAGCGUGGGUAGCAAACAGGAUUAGAUACCCUUGUAGUC
rnacentral:rRNA from 1 species